CGAAAUUUUGCAGCGAGUUGCACAGAAUUUCACAGAAAUUCGAUUGGGUCGAAGGCUUUUGUUUGAUUUGCGCACACUUUUGGAUGAUGGUCCGCUGACGUGAUGGACGAUACUGUCACUCCAACUACACAAGGAGGAAAGAAACGCUGGACAAACCUUGCAGCAUAACAUGACAAAGUUGGUGAACAUAGCGUGGUUUCGGUUCUCAAGUGCGACUAGCAGUGUCUUCCGGCAGUGUCUCAACGUAUUUCACUGGUAUAUGAGCAGUAGUGGGUUGACAUUUUGCUGGUUGCGCAGUAUUUGGGUGCUUCUUUUGAGCUUGGGUAAUGCAGUGAUAAUGUCAAUAUCGGCUCUACCGAGAGCCUGUAUGACCGGCAUACAAAAAUUUUGAAAUUUUUUUGUCGUCUGAAUAUUCUAACGAACUACCCCCAACUUAUCCGACUUUUUUUAGGAAGAAAAAGUGCGCAAAUUAUGCGAGUAAAUAGGGUAAUUGUGUUUUGUGACGGAAUGAGGGUGCUUGCUCUGAAUUUAGCGUCUAUUGCGAUCAAGUAUUUGUCAAUUCCUACGAACUUUGCAGAUGCUGAAAGAUCUUUCAGCAGGUACAAAAGGAUUGUAGACGACAGACGGCAUUCGCUGUCAGAGAACACAAGAUAUCAUGUAAUGCUGAGUUGUUCCCACAUUAUCCAAGAAAAUAGUGUUUCCUGCUUCAAGCAGCCAUUGACUCCUUGGCGCAGAAGAUCGCGGAAUUUACAAACAUGUUGCCAGCCCAUAGGUUUUUAUGGAGGAAUCUGUGUACACUUCCCCCAAAGCAAGGAACCACUGGAGCUCCCAACUUAACCUGCCUCAUUACACCAGAGGCUGGAAGUGCAUGCACACUUGGAUAGAACCACACUAGGGUUGCCAGAUGGCAAAAGCUAUACCUAACGAAUAUUGUACCCCACGUAACCAAAUGGAGCCAACUAUAAGCAAGGCUCUCUAGCCAAAAGUGUGCACAAGGACCAAGUUGUCAAGGAUAACGAUACGUAACUGCGAGAAAAAAUAGCAGUGAUACACAGACCGUACAACACGUCACCGGAAAAGUUGUGUUAUCCCG